rnacentral:tRNA from 1 species
GUGGUGGUAGCUUAAUAAAAAGCAGCAGUCUUGUAAACUGAACAUGGGAACUCUUCCCCCUCCACU